rnacentral:rRNA from 1 species
GUAAGCGCAGCCAUGCGUUGAGCUAACCGGUACUAAUGAACCGUGAGGCUUAACCUUACAACGCCGAAG